ensembl:lncRNA
AAAAGGGUAGGCAAAAUAAGCUAAAGCUUCAGCAUAUACCUUUUCGGUUGUUUUAGUGAUUGUUUAAAUGCAAGAUACAGGAUGUGAGUUUUAUUUUCUUUUUCUCUUUUCUUUAUUAUCGGUUCUUUAUGUGUGUAUAUGUUUAGCAAAAACAUAAAUAAACUAAAUUAUAAUAAAAAAAUAUAAAAUACAAUUGACACCAAUUCUUCACCAUACCUGGGGGUAUGUUCAUGUUCAUGUCAUGUUCAUGUCAUUUGUUUUACUGUUGUGUUUUUGAGUUUUCAGAUGUUGAAUCAGAUUGGUAGUAGUUGGUAACAUUCUUUAAACUCAGCUUUACUACAGUGAUGUAAGUUUAUCUAUUACAUUCUGAUAACCAUAUGAUUUUCUAGUUUUAGUGAGCUAUGGUUUAUUAAAGGUUAAACAAACAACAAUGAAACUGCGUUGCCAUAUCAACGUUGAUUCACUUUUCACAAUCAACACCAAAUCCAAUGUUGAGCCACCAUAACAUCAUUGUUGGAAUGCCAGCUUGGUAAAAAAUGAUGACACUGGAAAAGAUGAUUGAUAUGUAGUAUGAAUAGGAUAAUUAUGAUAAAAGGCACAGUAACCUGAUAAUGACCCAGAGGAAGGCUUUAGAGUGUGUGUGGAUGAAGCUGAUUAACAACAGUCCUGCAUUAAUCAUCUCUAAAAAUAUGAAUUUUCACAGUUUAAUCUCCAGCAGAUCUCCAGCAGAUAUUUCAGGUAAAUGAAAGAGAGUGAAACUGAAAGCUGCUAUAAACGGACAGCAUUUCAGAAAGAGAGCAGAGCAGAUUUCACAUUUCACCCGGUAUUAAGUGAUGUGGUGCUGAUACCUGGUUUAUUAUAAUCUGUGCCCUGGUCAUGCUUUAAACUGGGAGAGCAGCAGGUCCAGUGUCUAGUUCUGUGAAAAGAGCACAAACACCAGGAUGGAUCCUCCUUACUUCAGCAGGAAGGAAGAAGUAUAUGACUUGAAACUGCAGACAUUUAGAGCAGAACCUCCAGAGCCCAGCGGUGUGUCUAUGAAGAGCAACUAUUCCAUGGAGAAGCCUCAUUAUUUCAGUAAUGAAAGAUGCAGCGCUGACCUGAGACUGCAGACAUUCAGAGCGGAACCUCCAGAGCCCAGCUGUGUGUCUGUAAAGAGCAACUAUUCCAUGGAGCAGCCUCAUAAUUUCAGUUAUGAAAGAAGCAGCACUAAUGCAGCAUUAAUACUGCAGACAAUUAGAGCAGACCCUCCAGAGCCCAGCGGUGUGUCAAUGAAGAGCAACUAUUCCAUGGAGCAGCCUCAUAAUUUCAGUAAUGAAAGAAGCAGCACUGAUUUGAGACUUCAGACAUUUAGAGCAGACCCUCCAGAGCCCAGCUAUGUGUCUGUGAACAGCACUUACUUGAUGAAUCAGCCUCUUUAUUUCAAAAAAAGAAGAAGCUCUGGCCUGAGACUGCAGACAUUCAAGGCAGAACCUCCAGAGCCCAGCUGUGUGUCUAUGAAGAGCAAUAAUUCCAUGGAGCAGCCUCAUUAUUUCAGUAAUGAAAGAAGCAGCAAUAAACUGAGAAAUACAUUCAGAGCAGAAUCUCCAGAGCCCAGCUGUGUGUCUAUUAAGAGCAGCCACUCGAUGCAUCAGCCUAUUUAUUUCAGUAAUGAAAGAAGCAGUACUGAUCUGAGCAAUGUAAAGAAUGGAUCAUUCCAGAAUCCAGAGUCCAGGUGUGGAGUGUGUGAGCAGAUUCAGACAGAUCCAGUCUCUAUCAC